CGCGUAGGCGGUCUUGUAAGCGGUGUGUGAAAGCCCGGGGCUCAACCCCGGAACUGCACUCCGAACUGCAGGGCUAGAGGACGAGAGGGGGCUGUGGAACUCUAGGUGGAGCGGUGAGAUGCGUAGAUAUCUAGAGGAACACCGGUGGCGAAGGCGACAGCCUGGCUCGUUUCUGACGCUGAGGCGCGAAAGCGUGGGUAGCAAACA
rnacentral:rRNA from 1 species